rnacentral:lncRNA from 1 species
UUAGAAGAAGAAGAAAGAGGUUGUAGUGUGCAAGGAGUGGAGGUAGAUCCGGAAUCUACACUGCAAGAGGCUUCCAUUCAGGUAGAAAAGCCCCUACCUUGAUCACUAGUUCUUUAGAUUCCCUUUUGUCCCUAAAAUGGUGGUUUUCAAGCCCUAAAACACCAUACUCCUUGUGUUUGUGCUUAAUGAUCCGAAAGGACUUCAGAUCUAGACAUUAUGGACGUAUUAGAAGUAUAAAGUCUCUGUGGUCGGAGUGAUUGAGGUCCCCAUUGAGUGUAUGACCUCAUAAAAAGCUUCGAUUUGCCUUUUGGAGCUUGUAGGGCCAUGCAUGCACGUAAAGUUUGCAACUUUACGUGAUAAGCAUGCCCUAGGAACAUAGAUCUAUGGUUUUGAAGCGUUGCAUGUCUCAGAUUUGGUCUAUAUGGGAAAUGGGUCAAGGGACUCGACGAGUCCCAAAGUGGAACUCGACGAGUUCUAUGAAGAUGGCCUUAGACUCGGCGAGUUGGAUAACAACUUGGCGAGUCCUAUGAAGAUUUCCUGGUACUCGACGAGUUAUUCUUCAAACUCGGCGGUCAGAUGAAUUGUUACUGAGUGAUAGGGGUUUAAGUGUUGAAGGUCCAACCCUUUGUAUCUGCACGUGGAAUUAGCAAUUUAGCGUGUAGCAAUAGUCCCAGAAACCCAAAUCCUCAAAAAGAUGCUCUGGUGAGGAUUUGGAAGCGAGCAGGAGAUCUGCUCGUGGGGACUUGGCGAGUUUUUCCUGGACUCGGCGAGUCGGGUCGCGAGUCGGUUCAGUCGUCCAAAGUAGUGAGUUAAGGGUGACUCAGUGAGUGGCAAAAAGGACUUGUCAAGUAGGAUCAGGUUAGUAGGAGAAGGACUCGGCGAGUCUAUGCCUUGACUCAGCGAGUUCAGUCAACUGGAAGUUGACUUUGACCAAGGAGUUGACCUUGGACCGAGGGAGGGUCAGUCAUUUGACCUAAGGGUAUUUAUGAGUGUCUAAUCUAUGUUCAUGAUUUAUAGCUGGAGGAUUACCGGUUCAGCAGUUAGGCGCUUUGCAAGCAGACUUUCAGCAGCUACUUUUCGAUAUGAGUUACCUUCCAGUAGCAGUGGGUCUACGGCCACAANUAGUAGGAGUUGUAUUAUUAGAUGAUUGUCUCUGUGAUAUUCAUCUAGGGUUGCUACCACCUGCGUUAUGUUUAUGUGCUAGUAUGAUAUGGUGCUAUAUGCUAGUGACAGUAGGGAAGAUAGUCCCCGGUUUACCGGUCGAUAGGGCCGAAGAGGCAGUCAUGCCCACCCAUGCUAGAUAGAUUAUGUGAUAUGUGUUAUAUGGUAGUAGUAGGGGUGAAAUAGUCCCCAACGUCCAGUCGAGAGGACCGAAGGGGAGACCAGCACAUAAAUAUGCUAGUUAGUAUCCGGUCGAGAGGACCGAAGGGGAGGCCAGCACCCAGAUAUGCUAGCUAAUAUCCAGUCGAGAGGACCGAAGGGGUAGAUCGGGCACCCAGAUAUGCCUGACAAUAUAUGUAAGAUAUCUGGUUAUAUGUUAUGUGGUACAGUGGGGGAACUCACUAAGCUUCGUGCUUACAGUUUUUAGUUGUUGUUUCGGGUACCUCUUCAACUAAGGGGAAGGAGCUGGCGCGGUAGCGGCAUAUCACACACAUGCUCUUGUUUUUCCGCACUAUGAGACAUUCUGGGAUUUGUACUCUGAUAUUAUUAUGAUUUACGUUGUGGUUUACUGACACGAGACAUGUUUUAUUUAAUGAUAUGGUCGAAUGAUGUUUUGUUACAAACGUUUUGCAAAUCACUUAAUUAAAAAUGAAAUUUUUGGCCCGUAUUUUGGGGCGUUACAAGUUGGUAUCAGAGCCCUGGUUUGAGGGAUUCAGACACACCUUCGGGGGUGUCUGAACUUAAAUCGAGUGAUUAAGGAAUUUCAAAAAAGAAAAAGUUUUAUAAAGGGUUAAGUAAAGAGUUUUAAGAAAGAACAAAGUGUGUGAUGUGCGCGACCGGCCAAGCUCAAGUAAGUAUUCCCCAAAGUACGCAUACAAGUUUAUGUUAUGUUUAACAGUUUCAAUAGAACAACAUGCUAGAAUAGUACUAAGGAUCUAAGAGUGAUGCCUUAUGUGCCUGCUUUAUGUGCUUCAGCUUAUGAGAAUUGCAUGCUAGUAAUGAGUAGACAGUAGUAGGACAGCCUAUUUAGGUUAUGCCUGGUAGUAUGAGCGUAGCAUUAUAUGCUAGUUCAGCUUCUCACAAUGAGUACAUAUUUGCUUGAGUAGUUUUCUUGCGUCCGAAUGCUACUUGCUUUGUGCUUAGUAGGACUCUGAGUGAUGGGAGUUAGUCAUCGAGCUGAUGGAGGACCACCUCAGGUCAUUCAGGAGUGACAUGGCAUCUGGCCAGUCAGGAUCUCGCACACUAUCCUUUAAGGACUUCAGGGGCAGUGGUGCGUCGGAUUUUCACGGGGCGAAGGACCCCAUAGCUGACAGGCGAUGGAUUGCAGACAUUGAGUCUGCACAGUUGACUAGCUUCUGCCCCGAGGGGUUGAAGGUGAGAUUUGCAGCAUGAUGUUUGAGAGACCGAGCUAGAGAUUGGUGGGAGUCCGUCGGUGACUCGUUGGGAGCCUCGGCUGUUGAAGUUAUGACCUGGUCGGAUUUUGUGACCAGGUUGUGGACAGAGUUCGCACCAGCUGUCGAGCUUCAACAGCUGGCCAGUGAGUUUUUAGAUAUGAGGCAGAUGACGGAGACUAUGGCGGAGAUCACCGCCAAGUUCAGGGAGAGGACGUCGUUUGUGCCCCACUACGCGGGUGAUGAGGAUAUGAGGAGGACCCGCUAUCAUGACAUGCGACGAGCUGAUAUUCGGGAGCAUGUCAGUUUUUCAGCUUGCCCUACCCUGGACUCUAUGAUUGCCAGGGCAAGGGAGAGGGAGAUAGAUCUGGAGCACAUCCGGAAGAGGAAGGCGGAAGAGGGGCAUGUUAUGGGGGCUUCGGGGAAGAAGCCCAAGGGACCAGAUGCGGGGCCGAAAGGCCAACAGGGGCGGGGCCGCUGCAGGAAAUGCGGCAANAAAAUGCGGCAAGACGCACGAGGGAGCGUGCAAGUUAGGAUCGUCAGGUUGCUAUAAGUGCGGCAAGUCAGGGCACUUCAGCAGGGAUUGGACCGCCCCUGCACCUAUGAUACAGACGUCAGAGUUGCUAUGUUUCCAUUGCAACUAGAGGGGCCACAAGAAGGCCAGUUGCCCCCAGUUAACAACAGCAUCGGCGCCAGUAAAGGCGCCAGCUCCAGCGACCCUGCGGAUCACUGAUGGCCAGCAGGGCAAGGCAGAGGCUCUAGUGGUGAGGAGCCGGGCGUUUGAGCUAACUACCGAGGAGGCACGCGCCGCACUCGAUGUGGUGAUGGGAUCAUUUCAUGUGAACGGUAUCCCAAUUCAGGUGUUGUUUGACUCGGGUGCCACCCGAUCGUUUGUUUCUCUUGUGCUUAACAAGAAGUUUACUGAGUCUUCGGGCAUCUUGGAUUGCCCACUAGAGGUAGAGAUUGUUGAUGAUCGAUCGGUGCAAGCAUCAGCAGUGUUCAGGGAUUGUAUUCUAAGGUUGUUUGAGGAGCGCUAUUUGGUGGAUUUGGUUCCCAUUCCGUUGCGUGGGAACAAGGUGAUCAUAGGCAUGGAUUGGUUGAGCCCUAAUGGGGCGGUGUUAGAUUGCGCACAACAGCUGGUGCGGAUCAGGACCCCAAGUGGGGGAGAGUUGGUGAUCCACAGCGAGAGGCCACAGCGUGGACCCACAGUAUGUCCAGCAGCGAGAGCUAGGCGCUACCUUCAGCAGGGUUGCGCGGGAUAUGUCGCGUAUGUUAUGGAUACACGGGAGGCGGGUAAGGCGAUGGUGAACGAGAUUCCAGUGGUGCGAGACUACGCUGAUGUGUUCCCGGAGGAUCUUCCUGGAAUACCUCCGGAGCGUCAGGUAGAGUUCAGGAUCGACCUAGUCCUUGGUGCGACUCUGAUAGCCAAGGCACCGUACCGGUUGGCUCCUCCCGAGAUGCAGGAGUUGUCUACGUAGUUGUAGGAGCUGUUAGACAAGGGAUUCAUUAGACCAAGCAGUUCACCCUGGGGAGCCCCAACUCUCUUUGUGAAUAAGAAGGACGGGUCGCAUCGGAUAUGUAUAGAUUAUCGGGAGCUGAACAAGGUAACGGUGAAGAACCGUUACCCACUCCUGAGGAUUGAUGACCUCUUUGACCAGUUACAGGGAGCAUCUUGGUUCUCCAAGAUUGAUUUGCGUUCAGGUUACCACCAGAUGAGGGUCAGAGAGGAGGAUGUGCAGAAGACCGUGUUUCGGACGCGUUAUGGCCAUUAUGAGUUCGUGGUGAUGCCGUUUGGGCUCACCAAUGCUGGAUCGGUCUGUGAUAGUUUUUAUUGAUGACAUCUUGGUUUAUUCCAAGACGCAGGAGGAGCACGAGGAGCAUAUGAGAGAGGUUUUGGAGAACCUGAAGAGGGAGAGCUUGUACGCCAAGUUCUCCAAGUGCGAGUUUUGGUUGCGCGAGGUGCAAUUCCUGGGGCACCUUGUCAACCAGAACGGUAUACUGGUUUACCCGGCUAAGAUAGAGGCCGUGAUGAGAUGGGAGGUUCCGAAGUCUCCAUCUGAGAUUCGGAGUUACCUGGGUUUAGCGGGCUACUAUCGGAGAUUCAUUCAGGACUUCUCCAAUAUAGUCGUACCCCAAACACGGUUGACUAAGAAAGCCGUGGUCUUUCAAUGGGGGCCUGAGCAGUAGGCAGCAUUUGAGGUUCUGAGACAGAGAUUGUGCGAGGCGCCAAUCUUAGCCCUGCCAGAGGGUGUAGAGGAUUUUGUGGUAUAUUGUGACGCGUCCAUUUCGGGGUUGGGUGUGGUACUGAUGCAGAGAGGGCACAUCAUUGCCUACGCUUCGAGGCAGCUAAAGCCUCAUGAGGCGAACUACCCGACGCAUGAGUUAGAGUUGGGGGCGGUGGUCUUCGCCCUCAAGAUUUGACGACAUUACCUCUACGGGGUUCGAUGUACCAUUUACACGGACCACAAUAGUUUGAGGUACCUCAUGGAUCAGCCGACCUUGAACAUGAGGCAGCGUCGGUGGCUUGAUGUGGUGAAGGAUUAUGAUUGGGAGAUCCUUUACCACCCGGGGAAGGCCAAUGUGGUGGCCGAUGCGCUUAGCCGUCAGGCAGCGCCGAUCAGGGAUAUUUGCAUGCGGAUGACAGUGGUGACUCCGCUUUUAGAGCAGAUUCGGGAGGCCCAGCAGGAGGCCCUNCAGGUUUCCUCCUUCGACUAUGACAGUAGGAGAUUAUUGACAUUACACCGCAGGGUGUGGGUGCCAUACCUCGGAGGCAUGCGUCAGAUAUUGAUGGAGGAGGCGUAUAAAUCCCGAUUCUCCAUUCAUCCCGGGGCGACGAAGAUGUAUAGGGAUCUUCUUCUGGACUAUUGGUGGCCCUGCAUGAAGCGGGAUGUGGAUUGGUACGUCGAGCGGUGCUUGACCUGCAGGAAGGUCAAGGCCGAGCAUCAGAGACCGCACAGCAAGAUGCAACCGUUGGAUAUCCCGUUGUGGAAAUGGGAAGAUAGUACGAUUGAUUUUAUCACGAAUCUUCACAGGACCGCGCGAGGAAUGGAUUCUAUAUGGGUCAUCGUGGAUCGAUUGACCAAGAGCGCCCAUUUUAUCCCGAUUCAAGAGAGCAUCUCGGUCGAGAAGUUGGCCGACAUCUAUAUCAGGGAGAUAGUGGCGCGGCACGGGGUGCCAGUAUCAGUGGUUUCAGACACAGAUGUGCGUUUUACUUCCAGGUUUUGGAAGAAUUUUCAUGAUGAGCUGGGCACUCGUCUGCAUUUUAGCACUGCCUUUCACCCACAGACGGAUGGUAAGAGUGAGCGGACCAUCCAGAUUCUUGAGGAUAUGUUGCGGGAAUGUGUGUUUGAUUUUAGUGGUAGUUGGGAUACUUAUCUUCCUUUAGCUGAGUUCUCAUACAACAACAGCUACCACGCGAGUAUUGACCGUCCUCCCUUCGAGAUGUUGUACGGACGGAGAUGCAAGACCCCGAUAUAUUGGGGAGAGGUUGGCCAGAGGGUCAUGGGAAGCACUGAAGUGGUGCUCCAGACGACAGAGAAGAUUCAGCAGGUCCGGAGCAGGCUUUUGUCACACCCCAAAACCGGAACAGCGGAAACGUUCUGGGGUGGAUGACGUCAUGUCAAGUAUCACAACACAUGCAUAUAGUAAUCAAAGUACAACAAGACAUUGCAUUAAUAGUAAUAAUUUUACAUGGUUACAUUACAUAGUAUCAAAGUAAUACAAACAUAAUAUAUAAAGUGCAGCAAGGUACUUAGGCCAUCUUCAUCAGCAGCUCCGGGGAUGUACCUGUCUAAUUGCUUACCUGAGAUUACAAGUUAUUUGAAAAGCGAGUAUCAGCAUUUUUUACAAAUGCUGGUGAGUUCAUAAGCAUUUAGUGUCAUUUAGUCAAAUAACUUUAAUAAGUAGUAGUUUAAGUGCUUUCAGUGCUUCAGUGUCCUUUCCAGAAAAUCCUAUAUUUUCUUUAAAUAAAGCAGCCUUCUACCAAGACUGUUUCAGUGCAUUGUGGUAAGAGGUAGUUUUCCCUUAAUUGACAUUGUUAUCAAAAUACUGAAUUUGAUUAUUUAAGAAAGCAGGAGACAUCAGGGAAUAACAUAUGCCUCAGCAGUGAGGACUGCUGACUAAGGCAAAGAAUCAUAGACUCCAGGAGGGUAUCGAACUGACGACACGCCUGGUUCAGUCUAACAAAGGGGAGACAUAGACCCCAGAAGGUACCAAACGAAAGGUACAGCUGGUAAGGUCUAAAACAGUAAAUAUAGACCGAAGACGAUACCAAAUGAAAGGUAUCUCUCACAAGGUCAGAACAAAGACUACGGACCCCAGACAGUAUCAAUUGAAAGAUACAGCUAGCAAGGUCGAAACAGAGACUAUAGACCCCAGACAGUAUCAAAUGAAAGAUACAGCUAGCAAGGUCGAAACAGAGAUUAUAGACCCCAGACAGUAUCAAAUGAAAGAUACAGCUAGCAAGGUCGAAACAGAGAUUAUAGACCCCAGACAGUAUCAAAUGAAAGAUACAGCUAGCAAGGUCGAAACAGAGACUAUAGACCCCAGACAGUAUCAAAUGAAAGAUACAGCUAGCAAGGUCGAAACAGAGAUUAUAGACCCCAGACAGUAUCAAAUGAAAGAUACAGCUAGCAAGGUCGAAACAGAGUGACUCUGAAAAGUGACAUCAGCAUACAGUGUAAAUUGCUGACGAAAAUACCGUUACCUUAAAGCCAUGAAUUAUAAGGCAACCCAGGAUACUCGUAACCAUACUGACUAGAGUUCCAGACGCCCUACAAGCAUCUAUAUAAUAUGACAUUUGUCACCCCUUGGCUUGGUGGGCCGUGGACUGUAGCUAGCAGUCAGGGUGCGGGGUUGUCAAUCCCGUAUAGGCCUAUACACACAAUGUCCGCUCUCCCUACAGGAGACUCUGGUUACCAACUAGACGACGGAGAAGGCCGCGUCCCGAAGAUGCAUCCCAAAUAGAGAAUAGUGUGUUUCUUGAGGGGAGUGGGUUUCUAAUACAAAUGAUAUACUAGAGGUAGAGACUUCCAAACAGUGGGUAGUGUGUUUCUAAAGUAAGUGUAGAAUAGAUGAAGAGACUCUUAAUUGACUUGACUAGAGAAUUCCCUAUAUGUCCAUACCCAUAUACAUAGUAUUUAACUAAUGGACCAAACGACCUUCGGACGGCUACCCGAUCCCACCAGACCACAUCUCAACGAAGAAAAGGAAAUAGGGCCGAUGAGCCUUCCUAAGUCUUUCAGUCAUUACUUAUAUAUACCUAUAUAAGUACGGACAUACAUCUAACUAUGACUAAGUGGGUAUCAAGUGAAAGUGAUUCUCGUGAAGUAGGAGUGUCUAAUAAGUGAAGCAAGAGCGGUCGCAAGUGAAGUAUAAGUGUCGAAUAAGUAUAGGCGCAUCGCGAAGUAGAUAUGACCACAAGUGAAGUAAGAGCGUAUCAAGUAUAAGUGAAGUAAAGUCGAUCUCAAAUACAAGCGAAGUAGAAUCGUAUCACUAAGUAAGAGGGUAAAUAAGUAUAAGCGUUAUCAGGUAUAAGUGACUUCAGGUAUAAGCAAAAACAUUACAGAGUAGGAGCAUAAAAUAAGUAUAAGCGAAGCAGUGGUAUCUAACAAUUAAAAGUAUUCAUGAAAAACCCUUAAAGACUUUGUUACUCAGGAAAAUCGCAUUUGUAUUCUUUGAUAAAAUAGGUGUGAAAAUCUUUAGAAAUCUUUGAGAAUCUUUUAUAAAUCAGUUGAAAUGAGUCUUUGAUAAGCUAUGAAAGUAAGAACUUGAACAAUUUAAAAACCCUUUUUGAAAGCCAUUUAUAGUGUCCUACUCGGUAAAACAGUGUACAGUGGUAAAAUCUUGUGCAUGCGGGUUAUCAAUCACAUGUGAUUGAUAUGAUAACUGGCAUGUUUAACUUGUAAUCCCCCCCUAUGAAAACAUUUAAAAGCAUUAAAAAGGUUCAUUCAGGGGUAUGAACUCACCUGGUAUAAGUAGGUCCGACGGUAGUGCCGUUUAGGCGUUCGGGGUCACGCAAGGACUUGAACACACACAAGGACCUAUUUUAACAUAUGAUAACAUAUGUUCACAUACAAUUAGCAUAUAAUAUACUAAUUAAACAAUUAUACACACUCAAAGGAGUGGAAAACACUUUUGGUUGAGUGUUUGGGGUCCCGGGUAGCGUUUAAGGGUGCUAAGGGUCUCCUAUCAGCUGUGGGACUUUGCUAUGCUCAAGUAUCAAGGGUGUAAAGGGGUUUAAAGCAUCAAUAUGGACCAAACAAGGAGUUUACGGCCCAACCUAAGGGAGUUUACGGCCGUAAACUCCCAAGGUUCUAUUCUUGGGGUUUUGAUGCUUCUAGCUUGUUCCUUGAUUUAUUCUAAGCACUUUUCAUCAAAGGCAUGAUUGGAUUUGAGGCUUCUAAAGGUAUUUUAUAGGAGUUUACGGCCUAAGAACUCUCCCAAGGGAGUUUACGGCCGUAAACUCUCAAUCUUUGAGUUUAGUGAAGUUUCAAGCCUCUAAUGCCUUUCUAGUGAUUUCUAAUGAAGUGUGAUGCUAUUUUGGAGGAUUAAAACUAACAUUUGAGGGGGUUUUGGGGAGUUUACGGCCUAGAUAAUGUUUGGGCCGUAAACUCCAAGAAAUGUCUCAUUUUUCUUGUGUUUAAGCCUUUAAUUCCAUUCUAGCAUUUUAUGGUAAAUGUCUAAGGCCAUUAGGGGGGCAAAAAUCACACUUUUGGGCAUGAUUUAGGGAGUUUACGGCCUUGACCAUUUAUGGGCCGUAAACUCCUUUCUUUAAUUCAUUUUGGAGUGUUCAAGUGUCCUAAACUCAAAGGAAUAAGUCCCUAAAUUAUGUAAUAAGCCCUAGGAUGAGUUUGGUGCACAUUUGGGACCAUAACUUGUGGAGUUUACGGCCUAAGCAUGUGCUUGGGCCGUAAACUCUUCUUUGAGUCCUAAAUCCAUGCAUUUUAGUGUUUAAACACCCCUAGGCUAUAUCCCCUAAUAGUUUCUAAGCUCAUGGUCAAGUUUAAAGGCAUUUUUAACACCUUUUUAGGGGUUUACGGCCCUAGAAUGUUCCUGGGCCGUAAACUCCUUAUCUUAUGCCUUCUUGGAUGAUUUUUGGGCUAUAAACAUAAAUCAAUAUGUUUAGAAUAAGCUAGGGUAAGCGGACUUACAAUUUGGAAGCGUUUGGUUGCGAAUUCGGGGCGAAAACGGGUCUAGAGAGAGAGUAUAGAGAGAGAGUGUAAAAAGUCUCCAAUGGACUCCACUCACCCAUAUAUAGGUUUCACAGUCGGGGCUCAGUGGAAUUUUACCCGAUACUGCCGUUAAACGGGGCUUUUGGUCGCACCCGAUUUAGUGGUCGUAAUAAUAAAACUUGACAUUUUCCAAAUGAAUGAAAAUGUGUGUCCUGUGUUUUUAUUUCCUUUUAUCACGACUUAACGGCAUGUUAAAGGUAAUCAAAUGGAAUGUUUAUUAAAUUGAUGCCCUCUAAUUAACGGAACUUUUAUACAGUGGAAUAUUCCGUUAACGGUAACGGGGAAAUGUAACGGGACAACUUGGGUUGUCACAUCAUCCCCCCGUUAGAGGGAAUUUCGUCCCGAAAUUCGAGUCUAGACAAGGAAGUAGGCAUGAAUGGCCAAGUAGAGAUGAGGGAGUACUUCCUAUACGGUUACCCUUGCAUUUCCAAGUGAUCUCUAGUCUGUGGUUGUCAUUCUCACAGACCUUCACAUACGGGAUGUGCAUUCCGUCUAGUGUAGCUAGCGGGUUCCGACUGGUGUAUCUAUGAAGUCAGGGUUCUCGAUGGAUUCUAUCAAGAUGAGUGAGGCACGAAGAGUGUUGUCGGAUAAUCGCAUAUCAAGUCUAAGAAGUGGAUCGGUCGAAUGUGAAUCUUGUGGUAUAUCCGAAAGUAGUAGUGGUCUGAAAAGGAUUGGACCAAAUUUCCAUGAGGAUUCCCGGAUGGUCCUACGCUCUAGGAAGGGUAGAGCCUUUCAGUACUUAGAACAUAGUGUACUUCUAUGGCAAGAUCAUCACUGGCGUGAUCGCCAUUCCGAAGUUCCUAACGUUCUCUCUCGUACUGGUAGUGUAGUCCUUCGGGUUGGUUCUUAGGAAUCUCAAGUGGUCUUCAGUUUCAUGCUUUCUUUCCACUGGAUGAUAGAGGCUUCCUAGAUCGUCAAGUGGGUUGCGCGACUAUGGUCAUCGGUUUGCUAUAGAGUGUCUAUCUCCAGCUUGUGCAAAAUGGACCUGCACUAACGACGCUUGAGAUACGGAAACCCUGAGAAUCGGGGAGAUAGGGUUUCACCAGACGAGUGUUGGACUAUCUCGCGAGGUAGUUCUACUAUCUCUGCUUGAGAUAGUAUUCGGAGAACACCUAUUAGUCCAAGGAAUCUCUAAGACUGUGGUUUAUUCUAGCGUGGAAAGUGCGUGCUCCGACGUAAUCCCUCGACUAACACCAAGGCUGGUGUCGAGUCUAUAAUCUUUUCGGGAUCCGUGUCAUGAGAUUUAACGCAACUACUUUCGCACUUGACCAAGUAUUCUUGGCUGCGAAGGUUACCCUGUGGUUCUCGGUAUUCUAGUGUUUACCUCGGGAAAUAUGAUUCAUCAUCUACGAGGCGACGACGAUUUUCCUCCUUGUGAGAGGGUGGAGGAUGAUAAGCACUACCUGCCUAUAACUGGGUGGGCAAGGUGCAGGAGUAGUGCGAGCACCUACCGCAACUAUUCUCCCAAAGGUUCUGAGUUUUCUCGGUCUAAGGCAAAUCUAGUGGGCAUAGGGUCUCUUCACUCGGAACUCUACUAGCUCAAUCCGCAGUAGUUCUCUUGAUUUUCUGCUCCUAUGUCAUCGAAUGGGGUGAAAGUGUUUUGCGAAGAGGUUCAUGGUAGAACUCAUGCGUGGCUUAACUGCCCAUACUUGAUGGAUGCCAGCAGUACACCUGGUCAUAGUGGCCAGCCUCAUGAGUUCUAUUCUCUGGGUUCACGAACCUUAUGUGUGAGGUGAGGAGGGUCACCCAGGGAACUCAACGGAGUAUGCCUCGGAUGGUUGUCGUUUUCUGAGGUAUUUGCAGUGCCUUUCACUUUGGUGUUCAUUUGACUACGAGGGGUCGAUCGACGGCGUGGGGUACCCUCACUUGAGUACUUCGGAAGGUUUGAGAUAAGAGGGACGGUUGACGAAUUGCAUUAGAUGUGAUUAUUUGUGUUAGGUUCGGGUUCGGAGGAACCUUUAUUUGCCGAUAUGGCCAUGGAGAAAGCUCACAGCACUAAGAAUGUACACAUGGUUGCACGAAGUCAAACCAUGAUCAAUAGAGUCGUCGAAGUUGGCACACUUCGACAUGAUAUAAAGUGAAGAUCGAUAGAGUCAUGUGCCGAACAGGCACACAAGUUCUAGGCGUCUCGGGUUUCGUCCCAUAUAUCGCUACCGCGGAUACUUGGACCGAUAGAGUCGACGCGGAACUAUAGAGAGUUCUAAGUGUUUCCGAAUAGAGUAUCUUUUCUUGAAUGGAUUCUCACGAGGCAUUUCUACAAUCGCCUCACAUAUACUAGUCAUGUAUAUUUAAGGUGGGGAGGACUGUUGACUGAGCGACCCCGCCCUAAAUCCACAACCAAACGAGGAACAGGAAAUGAGGCGGCAUUCGCUCACUCUAGGUCUAUCCAUCCUAAAUAUACAUGGCCGUAACGUAUAUGUUUAGCCAUUGUAGUUUUACCUAAUGAAUUUUUAAAUUUUAUAACAGUGCUGCGACUUUCACCUUACUAGAAAGAAUUUAUACUUGAAUUAGUCUUUUAUUGUUUUCUUAGCUUAGUUAUCCGGGAUCGAGAGACGUACCAAAAAUCCAACGAGUUUCUUUGCUGCUUCUUCCUAAGCAGUAGUGUCAGGCUCCUUCUGUGUCUUUGUCUUUCUCUUCAGUUGGGCAGUCCCUCUUAGAGUGUCCCAUUCUACCACAUAGGUGGCAAACCAUACGGGUCGCCACAUUGGUGGUUGGUGUAAUGAGCUCAACCGGGGUUCUGCAGACACGAGCAGUAUGCCCCAGCAUGUGGCACCUAGCACAAUAAAGUUCCCGGCAGGUACCAUGAUGAUGGUAGCUGCACUUGCUGCAGUGGGGAAGGUCUCCUAGGUAUGGUCUUCUUGAGGUCGGGAGGGAAGGAUUUACAGGGGUAUCGACUGCCUCAGCUCGUUGCCCUUCGGAAGGUCCUGGAGCCGAGGUACUUCCCUCCUCUAUCUUGAAUUUUCUCUUUAGUGGGUUAAGUGGAGGUUCUUGGGUGGCUGAGUGGGGAAGAGUGGGUUGCUGCCGUCCAUUGCCAGAAUUGGAAAUCCCGACAGGGCCCUUGCUAACAUUGGCGUUGUUAGCAUUCAGGUGAGCCAUGACAGCUGCUGAGACUGCAGCUUGGAACGUAGCUUCAUCGAAUAAGAGGGCAGGUUUCUUGCUUGCGGAUUGGUUACGCUUCUUCGGUGGCAUGGUUUUUCCUACACGGAGAGGAAUACAAGGUAAUGAGAGAUGAUGGUUAACCCUGGACAUUUCUGUCCUGAACGCAUUAGGCAUAAAUUUUUCCCGUGCCUCGGGUACUAGUUGUUUGAACGUUGACCUACAUCCCUAUGAUGUAGUCCUGGAAAUCAAGGUAAGAGUAUGAGUAUCGGAAAAAGGCCAUAAGAUGCGAGUCGUUCCUACUAAGUUACUUUUAUACAUGGAAAGGUUUCACUCUCCGGCCUGGAGAGAAUUGAGAACGGUUCGGAACGAAAUCGUGGAAAGGGAAACUCACAAGGGCAGAUGGCUAAAAUUUUCUCAAUAGAGAUGUGGGGAUCCGCCCUAAUCGCGUAUCUGGCAACGGGAAACGACGAUUUACCUAACACAUAGCGUGAGUAGUGUAACCACUAACUCACUAAACUGCAUCAUUUUUAAGGGUGAAUUAUCGUGGCGAAUACGAGGAAAAGACAAUUCCCGGGUUCUAUGUACUAGCUCCCUCGGUCUGCCUCGUAUCUUUGGCUGGAAUCGGCGUUGGCUUCCUUCGGGUAGUUUCCUAGGGUUCUCUUCUUGUAUGGACAUAUCGAAUUUCUACUCCGCCUUCCUUCUGAUUCCAACUAUGGGUGUCAUCACUUCAUGAUGGAUGACUAGGAAUCUCCGAAGUUUAGGCGAAUCUCUCACCACUGUCCCUAAGAGAAUAUGGGCACUUGGUGUAUUCAAUAGUCCCGACCCGGUUCAUUCACUUCCGAACAGGAAAUCUUCUCAAUGAAUCUCCUCGGGGUCGAAAUCAACUCUUCUGUCAAGCACUGAAGUGGAUAGGGUUUUUCUACAGGGUUCGCGCGAGAAUGGAAAUGUCUAAAGAAUCCUAAGGGAUUAUUAACAUUUCACUGUAUGAUCCAUAUCGAGUCCUGCUACGAUUACACAGGGUAUACAAAUCCUAUAUAGCUUAGAUCCGAUAGGCCUUCGAAUAUGUGAUACUACUCUAGGACCACAUCCCAACGAGGAAAAGGAAACAGAGCGAAACCACACCUUCUUAGCCUAUGGGGUCUUUAUUAUAUAAGAUCUUGGAAGUACACCCUCUGUAGUUGUAGGUAUAUCGAUAAGGGUCUUUUUAAUUAUUCACGCAAGGUUGUUUAUAGAUUCUAAAAUACCCCCAUGGUAUUUUAAUUCUUGAUUGAGUCUUAUCUUCUGAUUAUGAUUCUGGGAUUAGUGUGGAUCUUUUAGCGUUCUAAAAUACUCCUAUAGUAUUUUAACUUUAUGUUUGGCUCUAGAAUUCCUAUUUGGUAAGUUUCAGAUCUGCUGCACACCACUAUCACUCCCGAGCACACGUUCAUCGCAUCUCGGAUAAAUGUAGUUGAUCAGGUUACAUUUAUCCCAGCUUACGAUUACAUAACUGCCCAGGUUUGACUGUAGUGCUCAACAUCCGAAGACUUUUAUUAUGGUCCUUCUUGUGAUACUUUUGUUCGAGUGCUUAGAUUCUGGAUGUUAUUAUACUUUGGUAAAAUAUGGUUAUAUUUUAAAGUAUAAUUCUUGGUCAGAGUGUUUUAUCCCAUUGCAUUUAUAGGCUGUAUAUCUUUUAUGAAUUGAUAUACUUAGCUCACUAUAAACAAUGCUCUGAUACCAAUCUGUCACACCCCAAAACCGGAACGGCGGAAACGUUCUGGGGUGGAUGACGUCAUGUCAAGUAUCACAACACAUGCAUAUAGUAAUCAAAGUACAACAAAACAUUGCAUUAAUAGUAAUAAUUUUACAUGGUUACAUUACAUAGUAUCAAAGUAAUACAAGCAACAUAUAUAAAGUGCAGCAAGGUACUUAGGCCAUCUUCAUCAGCAGCUCCGGGGAUGUACCUGUCUAAUUGCUUACCUGAGAUUACAAGUUAUUUGAAAAGCGAGUAUCAGCAUUUUUACAAAUGCUGGUGAGUUCAUAAGCAUUUAGUGUCAUUUAGUCAAAUAACUUUAAUAAGUAGUAGUUUAAGUGCUUUCAGUGCUUCAGUGUCCUUUCCAGAAAAUCCUAUAUUUUCUUUAAAUAAAGCAGCCUUCUACCAAGACUGUUUCAGUGCAUUGUGGUAAGAGGUAGUUUUCCCUUAAUUGACAUUGUUAUCAAAAUACUGAAUUUGAUUAUUUAAGAAAGCAGGAGACAUCAGGGAAUAACAUAUGCCUCAGCAGUGAGGACUGCUGACUAAGGCAAAGAAUCAUAGACUCCAGGAGGGUAUCGAACUGACGACACGCCUGGUUCAGUCUAACAAAGGGGAGACAUAGACCCCAGAAGGUACCAAACGAAAGGUACAGCUGGUAAGGUCUAAAACAGUAAAUAUAGACCGAAGACGAUACCAAAUGAAAGGUAUCUCUCACAAGGUCAAAACAAAGACUACGGACCCCAGACAGUAUCAAAUGAAAGAUACAGCUAGCAAGGUCGAAACAGAGACUAUAGACCCCAGACAGUAUCAAAUGAAAGAUACAGCUAGCAAGGUCGAAACAGAGACUAUGGACCCCAGACAGUAUCAAAUGAAAGAUACAGCUAGCAAGGUCGAAACAGAGACUAUAGACCCCAGACAGUAUCAAAUGAAAGAUACAGCUAGCAAGGUCGAAACAGAGAUUAUAGACCCCAGACAGUAUCAAAUGAAAGAUACAGCUAGCAAGGUCGAAACAGAGACUAUAGACCCCAGACAGUAUCAAAUGAAAGAUACAGCUAGCAAGGUCGAAACAGAGACUAUAGACCCCAGACAGUAUCAAAUGAAAGAUACAGCUAGCAAGGUCGAAACAGAGAUUAUAGACCCCAGACAGUAUCAAAUGAAAGAUACAGCUAGCAAGGUCGAAACAGAGACUAUAGACCCCAGACAGUAUCAAAUGAAAGAUACAGCUAGCAAGGUCGAAACAGAGUGACUCUGAAAAGUGACAUCAGCAUACAGUGUAAAUUGCUGACGAAAAUACCGUUACCUUAAAGCCAUGAAUUAUAAGGCAACCCAGGAUACUCGUAACCAUACUGACUAGAGUUCCAGACGCCCUACAAGCAUCUAUAUAAUAUGACAUUUGUCACCCCUUGGCUUGGUGGGCCGUGGACUGUAGCUAGCAGUCAGGGUGCGGGGUUGUCAAUCCCGUAUAGGCCUAUACACACAAUGUCCGCUCUCCCUACAGGAGACUCUGGUUACCAACUAGACGACGGAGAAGGCCGCGUCCCGAAGAUGCAUCCCAAAUAGAGAAUAGUGUGUUUCUUGAGGGGAGUGGGUUUCUAAUACAAAUGAUAUACUAGAGGUAGAGACUUCCAAACAGUGGGUAGUGUGUUUCUAAAGUAAGUGUAGAAUAGAUGAAGAGACUCUUAAUUGACUUGACUAGAGAAUUCCCUAUAUGUCCAUACCCAUAUACAUAGUAUUUAACUAAUGGACCAAACGACCUUCGGACGGCUACCCGAUCCCACCAGACCACAUCUCAACGAAGAAAAGGAAAUAGGGCCGAUGAGCCUUCCUAAGUCUUUCAGUCAUUACUUAUAUAUACCUAUAUAAGUACGGACAUACAUCUAACUAUGACUAAGUGGGUAUCAAGUGAAAGUGAUUCUCGUGAAGUAGGAGUGUCUAAUAAGUGAAGCAAGAGCGGUCGCAAGUGAAGUAUAAGUGUCGAAUAAGUAUAGGCGCAUCGCGAAGUAGAUAUGACCACAAGUGAAGUAAGAGCGUAUCAAGUAUAAGUGAAGUAAAGUCGAUCUCAAAUACAAGCGAAGUAGAAUCGUAUCACUAAGUAAGAGGGUAAAUAAGUAUAAGCGUUAUCAGGUAUAAGUGACUUCAGGUAUAAGCAAAAACAUUACAGAGUAGGAGCAUAAAAUAAGUAUAAGCGAAGCAGUGGUAUCUAACAAUUAAAAGUAUUCAUGAAAAACCCUUAAAGAUUUUGUUACUCAGGAAAAUCGCAUUUGUAUUCUUUGAUAAAAUAGGUGUGAAAAUCUUUAGAAAUCUUUGAGAAUCUUUUAUAAAUCAGUUGAAAUGAAUCUUUGAUAAGCUAUGAAAGUAAGAACUUGAACAAUUUAAAAACCCUUUUUGAAAGCCAUUUAUAGUGUCCUACUCGGUAAAACAGUGUACAGUGGUAAAAUCUUGUGCAUGCGGGUUAUCAAUCACAUGUGAUUGAUAUGAUAACUGGCAUGUUUAACUUGUAAUCCCCCCCUAUGAAAACAUUUAAAAGCAUUAAAAAGGUUCAUUCAGGGGUAUGAACUCACCUGGUAUAAGUAGGUCCGACGGUAGUGCCGUUUAGGCGUUCGGGGUCACGCAAGGACUUGAACACACACAAGGACCUAUUUUAACAUAUGAUAACAUAUGUUCACAUACAAUUAGCAUAUAAUAUACUAAUAAAACAAUUAUACACACUCAAAGGAGUGGAAAACACUUUUGGUUGAGUGUUUGGGGUCCCGGGUAGCGUUUAAGGGUGCUAAGGGUCUCCUAUCAGUUGUGGGACUUUGCUAUGCUCAAGUAUCAAGGGUGUAAAGGGGUUUAAAGCAUCAAUAUGGACCAAACAAGGAGUUUACGGCCCAACCUAAGGGAGUUUACGGCCGUAAACUCCCAAGGUCAUGUUCUUGGGGUUUUGAUGCUUCUAGCUUGUUCCUUGAUUUAUUCUAAGCACUUUUCAUCAAAGGCAUGAUUGGAUUUGAGGUUCCUAAGGGCCUUAUAAUGGAGUUUACGGCCUAAGAACAACUCCUAAAGGAGUUUACGGCCGUAAACUCUAAAUCAUUGAGUUUGGUGAUGUUUCAAGCCCCUAAUGCCUUUCUAGUGAUUUCUAAUGAAGUGUGAUGCUAUUUUGGAGGAUUAAAACCAACAUUUUAGGGGGUUUUAGGGGAGUUUACGGCCUAGAAAAUGCUUGGGCCGUAAACUCCAAGAAAUGUCUCAUUUUUCUUGUGUUUAAGCCUUUAUUUCCAUUCUAGCAUUUUAUGGUAAAUGUCUAAGGCCAUUAGGGGGGCAAAAUCACACUUUUGGGCAUGAUUUUAGGGAGUUUACGGCCUUGACUAUUCAUGGGCCGUAAACUCCUUUCUUUAAUUCAUUUUGGAGUGUUCUAGUGUCCUAAACUCAAAGGAAUAAGUCCCUAAAAUAUGUAAUAAGCCCUAGGAUGAGUUUGGUGCACAUUUGGGACCCUAACUUGUGGAGUUUACGGCCUAAGCAUGUGCUUGGGCCGUAAACUCUUCUUUGAGUCCUAAAUCCAUGCAUUUUAGUGUUUAAACACCCCUAGGCUAUAUCCCCUAAUAGUUUCUAAGCUCAUGGUCAAGUUUAAAGGCAUUUUUGACACCUUUUUAGGGGUUUACGGCCCUAGAAUGUUCCUGGGCCGUAAACUCCUUAUCUUAUGCCUUCUUGGAUGAUUUUUUGGCUAUAAACAUAAAUCAAUACGCUUAGAAUAAGUUAGGGUAAGCGGACUUACAAUUUGGAAGCGUUUGGUUGCGAAUUCGGGGCGAAAACGGGUCUAGAGGGAGAGUAUAGAGAGAGAGUGUAAAAAGUCUCCCAUUUGACUCCACUCACCCUUAUAUAGGUUUCACAGUCGGGGCUCAGUGGAAUUUUACCCGAUACUGCCGUUAAACGGGGCUUUUGGUCGCACCCGAUUUAGUGGUCGUAAUAAUAAAACUUGACAUUUCCUCAAUAAAUGGAAAUGUGUGUCUUGAGUUUUUAUUCCCUUUUAUCACGACUUAACGGCAUGUUAAAGGUAACCAAAUGGAAUCUUUAUUAAAUUGAUGCCCUCUAAUUAACGGAACUUUUAUACAGUGGAAUAUUCCGUUAACGGUAACGGGGAAAUGUAACGGGACAACUUGGGUUGUCACAGCUUUAGACUACUCAGAGUCGGCAGAAAAGUUAUGCCGACAAGUCGGCAGAAAAGGUCUGGAGCAGACUUCGAGGACGAAGUCUAAGAUAAGUGGGGGAGAUUUGUAGCACCUGGUUCCCGGAACGUACUCCUUGUAAUUAACAUUUUUAAAAUAAUGCAUUUUUGUCUUGGACUCGGCGAGUUGAUUGACCAACUCGCCGAUUAGGAGCGGAAUAAGACGUGGGGACUGAACAUUGGACUCGGCGAGUCGGUUCUCGGACUCGGCGAGUAGACCCUGUUUGGGCAAAAACCCUAAUACGGGUGUUUGCACCCUAUUUAAACGCUCUAACUUAGCCUCCUUUGUCCCUAACACUUCCAGAGAGCUGANCCUUUGUCCCUAACACUUCCAAAGAGCUGAAGAGCGAAACCCUAGCCCCCAUUUUGUUCUUGAGAGUGAUUUUGGCUUUGUGAAGAAGGUUUGGAGCUUAGAAGAAAAAGAAAGAGGUUGUAGUUUGCAAGGAGGGGAGGUAGAUCCGGAAUCUACACUGCAAGAGGCUUCCAUUCAGGUAGAAAAGCCCCUACCUUGAUCACUAGUUCUUUAGAUUCCCUUUUGUCCCUAAAAUGGUGGUUUUCAAGACCUAAAACACCAUACUCCUUGUGUUUGUGCUUAAUGAUCCGAAAGGACUUCAGAUCUAGACAUUAUGGACGUAUUAGAACUAUAAAGUCUCUGUGGUCGGAGUGAUUGAGGUCCACAUUGAGUGUAUGACCUCAUAAAAAGCUUCGAUUUGCCUUUUGGAGCUUGUAGGGCCAUGCAUGCACGUAAAGUUUGCAACUUUACGUGAUAAGCAUGCCCUAGGACCAUAGAUCUAUGGUUUUGAAGCGUUGCAUGUCUCAGAUUUGGUCUAUAUGGGAAAUGGGUCAAGGGACUCGACGAGUCCCAAAGUGGAACUCGACGAGUUCUAUGAAGAUGGCCUUAGACUCGGCGAGUUGGAUAACAACUUGGCGAGUCCUAUGAAGAUUUCCUGGUACUCGACGAGUUAUUCUUCUAACUCGGCGGUCAGAUGAAUUGUUACUGAGUGAUAGGGGUUUAAGUGUUGAAGGUCCAACCCUUCGUAUCUGCACAUGGAAUUAGCAAUUUAGCGUGUAGCAAUA